rnacentral:rRNA from 1 species
UACGAAGGGGGCUAGCGUUGCUCGGAAUCACUGGGCGUAAAGGGCGCGUAGGCAGAUCUUUAAGUCGGGGGUGAAAGCCUGAGGCUCAACCUCAGAAUUGCCUUUGAUACUGGCGAUCUCGAGUCCGGGAGAGGUGAGUGGAACUGCGAGUGUAGAGGUGAAAUUCGUAGAUAUUCGCAAGAACACCAGUGGCGAAGGCGGCUCACUGGCCCGGUACUGACGCUGAGGUGCGAAAGCGUGGGGAGCGAACAGG